UAGAUAAAUUUUAUAUGGUUUAAUUAAAUUUAUUUUGUAUUUAUUUUACAUAUAAAUUUUAGUAUGAGUAAUUCUUUAUUUUAAUAAUAUUAAUUAUGUUUGUAGUAAUUAAUAUUAAAUAUUUAGGAAAUUAAGAUUUAGUAAUAUAUAAAUUAUUAACAAAUUUUGUGCCAGCAGUUGCGGUUAUACAAAAAUUAAAUUAAAUUUUUUUAGUGAUUAAUAAUUAAUUUAAAAAUUUGUUUAAAUUAAAAUUAAAAUUAUUAGGUGAAAUUUUAAUUUUAUAUUAUUUUAUUUUUAUUAAUAUGAUUUAAUAAAUUUUAUUAAUAAACUAGGAUUAGAUACCCUAUUAUUAAAAAUUUAAAUUUAUAAUACUAAAAUAGUAUGUAAUUUUAUUGAAACUUAAAUAUUUUGGCGGUAUUUUAGUUUAUUUAGAGGAAUCUGUUUAUUAAUUGAUAUUCCACGAAUAAAUUUACUUAAUUUAUUAUUUUGUAUAUCGUUGUUAAAAAAAUAUUUUUUAAUAAUUUAUAUAAUAUUUUAAUAUUAAUAUUUAAAAUUAAAUCAAAUCAAGAUGCAGAUUAUAAUUAAGAAUAUAAUGGAUUACAAUAAAUUUAUUUAAAUGAAUUAUUAUUUUGUAAAAUUUAAUUGAAAGUGGAUUUAAAUGUAAUUUUGUUUAAUUUAAUAAAAUGAUUAAAAUUUAAAAUAUGUACAUAUUGCCCGUCGCUUUCAUAAAUAAAUUGGAAUAAGUCGUAACAAAGUAGAGGUACUGGAAAGUGUUUCUAGAAAGAUC
rnacentral:ncRNA from 1 species